GAUGAACGCUGGCGGCGUGCUUAACACAUGCAAGUCGAACGGAAAGGCUCCUGCUUGCAGGGGUACUCGAGUGGCGAACGGGUGAGUAACACGUGGGUGAUCUGCCCUGCACUUCGGGAUAAGCCUGGGAAACUGGGUCUAAUACCGGAUAGGACGAUGGUUUGGAUGCCAUUGUGGAAAGUUUUUCGGUGUGGGAUGAGCUCGCGGCCCAUCAGCUUGUUGGUGGGGUAAUGGCCUACCAAGGCGUCGACGGGUAGCCGGCCUGAGAGGGUGUACGGCCACAUUGGGACUGAGAUACGGCCCAGACUCCUACGGGAGGCAGCAGUGGGGAAUAUUGCACAAUGGGCGCAAGCCUGAUGCAGCGACGCCGCGUGGGGGAUGACGGCCUUCGGGUUGUAAACUCCUUUCGUCAGGGACGAAGCGAAAGUGACGGUACCUGGAUAAGAAGCACCGGCUAACUACGUG
rnacentral:rRNA from 1 species